rnacentral:rRNA from 1 species
CACUCCUGCGGGAGGCAGCAGUGGGGAAUAUUGGACAAUGGGCGCAAGCCUGAUCCAGCCAUGCCGCGUGAGUGAUGAAGGCCCUAGGGUUGUAAAGCUCUUUCACCGGUGAAGAUAAUGACGGUAACCGGAGAAGAAGCCCCGGCUAACUUCGUGCCAGCAGCCGCGGUAAUACGAAGGGGGCUAGCGUUGUUCGGAUUUACUGGGCGUAAAGCGCACGUAGGCGGACUAUUAAGUCAGGGGUGAAAUCCCGGGGCUCAACCCCGGAACUGCCUUUGAUACUGGUAGUCUUGAGUUCGAGAGAGGUGAGUGGAAUUCCGAGUGUAGAGGUGAAAUUCGUAGAUAUUCGGAGGAACACCAGUGGCGAAGGCGGCUCACUGGCUCGAUACUGACGCUGAGGUGCGAAAGCGUGGGGAGCAAACAGGAUUAGAUACCCGGGUAGUCCCAU